UUUCUCUGCUCGGCGAGUGGCGAACGGGUGAGUAAUACAUCGGAACGUGCCCUGUAGUGGGGGAUAACUAGUCGAAAGAUUAGCUAAUACCGCAUACGACCUGAGGGUGAAAGUGGGGGACCGCAAGGCCUCAUGCUAUAGGAGCGGCCGAUGUCUGAUUAGCUAGUUGGUGGGGUAAAGGCCUACCAAGGCGACGAUCAGUAGCUGGUCUGAGAGGACGAUCAGCCACACUGGGACUGAGACACGGCCCAGACUCCUACGGGAGGCAGCAGUGGGGAAUUUUGGACAAUGGGCGAAAGCCUGAUCCAGCAAUGCCGCGUGUGUGAAGAAGGCCUUCGGGUUGUAAAGCACUUUUGUCCGGAAAGAAAUGGCUCUGGUUAAUACCCGGAGUCGAUGACGGUACCGGAAGAAUAAGGACCGGCUAACUACGUGCCAGCAGCCGCGGUAAUACGUAGGGUCCAAGCGUUAAUCGGAAUUACUGGGCGUAAAGCGUGCGCAGGCGGUUGUGCAAGACCGAUGUGAAAUCCCCGGGCUUAACCUGGGAAUUGCAUUGGUGACUGCACGGCUAGAGUGUGUCAGAGGGAGGUAGAAUUCCACGUGUAGCAGUGAAAUGCGUAGAGAUGUGGAGGAAUACCGAUGGCGAAAGCAGCC
rnacentral:rRNA from 1 species